AAUGUUGCUUAUGUGUCAGUCUGUCUGGGCCAUGUGCACAGAGGGCAUUGGGAAAUAUCUCUGACCAAUCACUCAAAAGAAGUGACUCUCCUCACUUGCCUGGACUCUGCUCACAAUAGAGAUUUUCACAAAUCACUGGGUACAGCACCUAGGUGAUGGGGCUCUUCUUUCCUGGGCUCUUCCAUCAGAGAAGAUUGUGAUGUUUUCUGAGCCCAGCACUCAAGUGAGGUGACUUGUCUCCCUGGGCCCUCCCACAGAGAGCAUUGUGAACAUCUUUGGGAUCAUCACCUAGGUUACUGGGAUCUCAAUGUAAAUGUUAUGCCCUUACAGAGGCUGCUGUGAGCUGAAUCGUCUGCCUCCCAGAAUGUAUAUGUUGAUACCUUAACCCCCAGCACCUAAGAAUGUGACUAUAUUUGGAGAAAGCAUCAUCACAGAGUCUCAGGGAUGUCUUUAUCAGCAGUAUGGAAAGGAACUAAUUCAUCCCACUUCACUGUUUGAAGUAAAACUGCCAGUUCUAUGGGGUCUUCAGUUUACUGAAUAUUUCCUAGGUGCCUGGCCCUAAUUCACUGGUGAGUCAAGAAAGCUGCCACCUUAUGGUGCUCACUGGGUGGCUGUGGAUGUCUAACCUCAGUGCCAGCUGCACAGAACCUGAAGCCAGGCUGGUUGCUCCAUCUAAAUGGCAUGGAAUCCCAGGGAAUAUCCUGCAUUCUCAGUGUCCAGCUGUCUGAGGCCACAGUUGUUUAUGAUGAUCGAAAACAACUGCUUUUUUCUGAGGAGACUUACCACCCCAUGGCUGACGAGUUUUGUGAUAAAGCGGCUGCUUCCAAUACCAGAUGGUAUCUCUAUUGGGACAAAAUUAAAUUUCUGAAUUGCUUCUAAAAAAAUGAUGAUUGAGUGAUAUUGAGUGUUUCUACCUUAGAACAUGAUUUGGUUUUCCAUUUGUUUUUGCUGAUUUUCUUAUAUUUCAAGGACUUUUUAUGGUCUUUCUCAUAUGCUUAACAAAUGUUUGUUAGAUUUAUGUAUAGCUAGUUUAUUUUAUUUUUGUCCUGUUAAAAAGUAAACUGUAGCACAAUAUAAAUUUUAAAAGUUUUCUUGGAUGGGAAUGAUGGCUCAUAUCUGUGAUUCCAGCACUUUGAGAGGCCAAGUUGAGGGGAUUACUUGAGCCCAGGAGUUUGAGGCCAGCCUGGGAAACAUGGUAAGACCCUGUGUCUACAAAACAUAAGAAGAAAUUAGCCAGGUGUGGUGGUGCAUGCCUGUAGUUGCAGCUACUCAUGGGGCUAAGGGGGAUGAUGGCUUGAGCUUCAGAUGCAAGGCUGCAGAGAGCUUUCUGUGUGCACACUCCAGCAUGGACAAUAAAGCAAGAACCUGUUUUAAAAAUAUUUUCUUCAGUAAGAAGCAACUUAUGAAUUGUGGAACACUAGAGCAAGAGAGGAUUACCACUUCAAUGGCAAAGUGUCAGAGUCAACAAGAUGAGGUCACUGAGGAUGUCUAACUGAUUCUGCCCACUCAGGAAUGUUUUGGAUUUGGUCUCCCUUUUAAUUUACUUUUAUAAAUCAUUUUGUAAUUUUUAUCUCCUACCCAUUCUGUAACAGAUAUUGGAUUUCUUACAAAUUCAAGGCUUUUUGCAACCCUAUAUUGAGUGACUCUAUUACACUAUUUUUGCAACAUCAUGUGACCUUUGUGUGUGUUUACAUCUGUGUCAGCAUUUUUUUGCAAUAAAGUACAUUUUUUAUUAAAGUAGGUACA